GAUGAACGCUGGCGGCGUGCUUAACACAUGCAAGUCGAACGGAACUACUUUAAUGAGAUUCUUCGGAAAGGAUUUGAUUAGUUAGUGGCGGACGGGUGAGUAACGCGUGGGUAACCUGCCUCAUACAGGGGGAUAACAGUUGGAAACGACUGUUAAUACCGCAUAAGCGCACAGCAUCGCAUGAUGCAGUGUGAAAAACUCCGGUGGUAUGAGAUGGACCCGCGUCUGAUUAGCUAGUUGGUGAGGUAACGGCCCACCCAAGGCGACGAUCAGUAGCCGGCCUGAGAGGGUGAACGGCCACAUUGGGACUGAGACACGGCCCAAACUCCUACGGGAGGCAGCAGUGGGGAAUAUUGCACAAUGGGGGAAACCCUGAUGCAGCGACGCCGCGUGAGCGAAGAAGUAUUUCGGUAUGUAAAGCUCUAUCAGCAGGGAAGAAAAUGACGGUACCUGACUAAGAAGCCCCGGCUAACUACGUG
rnacentral:rRNA from 1 species